GCGCCUUUGAUAUUUUCUUACCUAGGUAUUUUGCACUAAAUAAAGUCCAAAGGCUCGCGGUACAGACUGACCUACCAAAAUAGAGUACCAGUCCAUCUCUAGAGUAUGUUAUUCCUGUGCUGUGAUAAAUGAUGUCGCCUCCUUUACUCAUAACAGACCCAGAUUUUUCAGCUGCUGAACAUGCUCAGGCGGAAGUGGCGGAGGAGACCAAUCAGAUCCCGUCAUCUCACCAUCGACAUCCUCGACAACAUAUUCUUUUGUGAGCAUCCUCUUUGCAAGUAUGUGAUAAUGCCGUUGCCAAAUUCGCUGUCCAACCAUAGUAGCUACUAAAACACUAUAGAAUAUGCCUAUCACCGUAAAUAGUCCCAGAACAAUCAAAGCCAUUAUAAAUAACAAUGGCAGCCCUGCUUCACCAGCACCUCCCAAGCAACCACAUUCACCAGCAGCACUUGCACAGCUUUCAAAGCAAGUGGUACAGUCAGUCCACAUACAAAGAGUGCCAGGUAAAUGGCAGUCUGCACACAUUCCAGGCUGACAGCAACAAAGACAUAAUUCUCGGCAAGGCUGAGCCAAAUCAUUGCGAACUCUUCGAUCAUAACAAGUAAUGAAGCACCCAGACAGCCCCAGCAAAGCAAAAAACAAUAGUGCACCACAUAUGUAAUAGAAACUAAGCUCAUUAUCAAAGCCCCAUGCAUGUC
rnacentral:misc_RNA from 1 species